rnacentral:rRNA from 1 species
UACGGGGGGAGCAAGCGUUGUUCGGAUUUACUGGGCGUAAAGAGCGCGCAGGCGGCUGGUCAAGUCCGAUGUGAAAUCUCCCGGCUCAACUGGGAAACUGCAUCGGAAACUGAUCGGCUUGAAGAUGGGAGAGGGUAGUGGAAUUCCCGGUGUAGUGGUGAAAUGCGCAGAUAUCAGGAGGAACACCGGUGGCGAAGGCGGGUCUCUGGGCAACAACUGACGCUGAGGAGCGAAAGCGUGGGGAGCGAACAGG